AUGAACGCUGGCGGCGUGCCUAAUACAUGCAAGUCGCGCGAACAGACGAGGAGCUUGCUCCUUUGACGUUAGCGGCGGACGGGUGAGUAACACGUAGGUAACCUACCUAUAAGACUGGGAUAACUUCGGGAAACCGGAGCUAAUACCGGAUAAUAUUUCGAACCGCAUGGUUCGAUAGUGAAAGAUGGCUUUGCUAUCACUUAUAGAUGGACCUGCGCCGUAUUAGCUAGUUGGUAAGGUAACGGCUUACCAAGGCAACGAUACGUAGCCGGCCUGAGAGGGUGACCGGCCACAUUGGGACUGAGAUACGGCCCAGACUCCUACGGGAGGCAGCAGUGGGGAAUAUUGCACAAUGGGCGGAAGCCUGAUGCAGCAACGCCGCGUGCGGGAUGACGGCCUUCGGGUUGUAAACCGCUUUCGCCUGUGACGAAGCGUGAGUGACGGUAAUGGGUAAAGAAGCACCGGCUAACUACGUG
rnacentral:rRNA from 1 species